UACCACCGUGGAUGUUCAUAACCCUUUGUUGUCCGACUCUGUUGCCUCCGGGGCGACCCUGCCUUCGGGCGGGGGCUCCGGGUGGACACUUCAAACUCUUGCGUAACUUUGCAGUCUGAGUAAACUUAAUUAAUAAAUUAAAACUUUUAACAACGGAUCUCUUGGUUCUGGCAUCGAUGAAGAACGCAGCGAAAUGCGAUAAGUAAUGUGAAUUGCAGAAUUCAGUGAAUCAUCGAAUCUUUGAACGCACAUUGCGCCCCCUGGUAUUCCGGGGGGCAUGCCUGUUCGAGCGUCAUUUCACCACUCAAGCCUCGCUUGGUAUUGGGCAACGCGGUCCGCCGCGUGCCUCAAAUCGACCGGCUGGGUCUUCUGUCCCCUAAGCGUUGUGGAAACUAUUCGCUAAAGGGUGUUCGGGAGGCUACGCCGUAAAACAACCCCAUUUCUAAGGUUGACCUCGGAUCAGGUAGGGAUACCCGCUGAACUUAAGCAUAUCAAUAA
rnacentral:misc_RNA from 1 species